AAACAUGUCAGGGGGCAUUUCCUAGUCAAAUCUUUGAAUCUUUCCCAGGCUUCAUAAAUGGUCUCACCAUCCAACUAUCUGAACGUUUGUACUUCAGUUCUUAGCCU